rnacentral:rRNA from 1 species
CAGUCGCCGCGGUAAUACGAAGGGUGCAAGCGUUAAUCGGAAUUACUGGGCGUAAAGCGUGCGUAGGCGGUGAGUUAAGUCUGCUGUGAAAUCCCCGGGCUCAACCUGGGAAUGGCAGUGGAUACUGGCUCGCUAGAGUGUGUCAGAGGAUGGUGGAAUUCCCGGUGUAGCGGUGAAAUGCGUAGAGAUCGGGAGGAACAUCAGUGGCGAAGGCGGCCAUCUGGGACAACACUGACGCUGAGGCACGAAAGCGUGGGGAGCAAACAGGAUUAGAUACCCCCGUAGUCCUGUCUCUUAUACA